CGUGGUCAAAUCCACAACAGGGGAGAAGAUCGAGUAUUCGAUCCAUUUCGAAUUCUGGGCGACCAACAACGCAGCAGAGUACGAAGCCCUCCUCUCGGGGAUCAGACUAACUCGCGCGCUAGGCGCGUCCAAGGUGCACUUCCACACGGACUCCCGGCUAGUAGCCAACCAAGUCAGGGGAGACUUCGUGUCCAAGGAAGACUCAAUGGCGAGCUAUGUGGCUGAGACGAGAGCGGCUUUGAGCAAGCUCGAAGAAUGGAGGAUCUCCCAAAUAGGGAAAGAAAACAACGGGGAGGCCGACACGCUGGCCAAACUGGGAGCGUCCCCAGGAAAGACGGAGGCAAGGUGGAUCCGGAUCGAGAACCAAGAGCGGCCGACGACGACCAGCAGCCCCGGGUCGGCCAGAGCUUGCGGUGUGAUAACAUCGGGGGAUUGGAGAACGCCAAUCAGGAGGUUCAUCGAGGCAGGCGAAGCGCCAACAGACCUGAUGAAGCACUGAAUCUGCUACCAGGGCUCGCGGUGGUGCGAGGUUGAUGCCGGAGGCUUUGGAGUCCACGACGCACGCUCUACGUCAAAUACCUGCAAGUGGAAACUAGGCGAUUCUAAUGAGACUCGCCGAGUUUCGUAGUGAUGCUCUGGUGUGAGAGAGGAACUUGAAUCGUGCCUUUGAGUGUCCCCUUGAGACCCUUUUUAUAGGAUCUCGGAGGGCGCAAUCAAAGGCGGACAUCGAGCCUAUAGUCAUAUAUGGUAACAUUUAUGACGUUGGCUGGCGGCGAGUAACGGUCGUAAGUCGCCGAUUCAGGUAUGGAAGUCGCCUAGUUAGGGCUAACUCGUCGAGUUUCUAGGGCCAAGAUGUACAGUCUACCAUACUACCGAUCUUGCCUUAACUCGGCGAGUUAUCCUGUAUGUCGGCGACUUGGUUGUCCAAUCGGGCGACUUACGGGCUAACUCGGCGAUCUGGACGAUGAACGUGUUCCGCACCGUGGGAGCUCUUCGGGGGUCCUGCCAUAGCGACGGAGCCCUAGUCCUUAUUGUAAGGCGUUGCUGGUAGUGACUGACGUAAUCAGGCAUGUCUCACCGGUACUCCCCCCUGAAGAGAGCACAAGAAAUAUGCGUGUAUCGCCAGUACCCCCCCCCCCAACCAAGGUUCAAUGUGUGUGAUCCAGCACCAAGGCCAAAGCGACAAGAUGAGAUCGAAUCAUCCACCCACAGUGACGUAAUGAUUCAGAAUCCAUAGGCCAAAACGUCAAGAAUAGAUCGAGUUCCAGGCCAAGGUAACUCUGUUUAUAGUCCUUCCCUGAUCAGGGGCGACUGCACUGUGUUAUCGAGGCCGAAGCGACAAGAUAAAUUCCGGCCAAAGCGACGGAAUACGAUUCAAGCCGGAGCGACAGAAUCGGGUUCUUGCCAGAGCGAUAGAACCAAGUUCUAGCCGAAGCGAUAGAACUAAUGUUUAUAGUCCACUCUGAUCAAGAGCGACUUAAAGUCCGCAACGACGGCCCCCUUCGAGGCUUUUUAGCGACAAGAUGGGUUGAGAUCGUUAAGGCCAAAGCGACAGAACGAUCUCUGGUGUAUCAAGGAAGAAUGCGACAAGAUACUUGGACUCACUAUUAGAGUCUUAUUCUGGCCAAAGCGAUAGAAUAAUACCUGCAAAAAAGAAAAACAUUCUGGCCAAAGCGACAGAAUAAUAUCUGCAAAAAAGAAAACAUCCUGCAAAAGAACUAGAUCAGUCUAAAAACGCAUAUGACUAUUGACCGAUUUUACCUCUUGCGAUAUUCUUCUCUUUACUUUGAUCAAUCCUCGGUGAAUCUGGCCGAAGCGAUAGACUCACCGUGCUCAUGUUUGACGACUUCUGGCCAGAGCGACAGAAGUGUCGGGAGAACUUGUGAUACUCCUCCCUGAGUUUUGACAAUUUCCGGUCGGAGCGACAGAAAAGUCGAAAGAGUUUGUGAUACUCCCCCCUGAGGUUUGACAAUUUCUAGCCGAAGCGAUAGAAACGUCGGGAGAGCUUGUGAUACUCCCCCUCGAUGUUUAACGAUCUCUAGCCGAAACGAUAGAAAUGUCGGGAGAGCUUUUGAUACUCCCCCUCGAGAUUUGACAAUUUCCGGCCGGAGCGCCAGAAAAGUCAGGAGAGCUUGAGAUACUCCCCCCUGAAGUUUGACGAUUUCUAGCCAAAGCGAUAGAAAUGUCGGGAGAGCUUGUGAUACUCCCCCUCGAGAUUUGACAAUUUCCGGCCGGAGUGACAGAAAAGUCGGGAGAGCUUGAGAUACUUCCCCCUGAAGUUUGAUGAUCUCUAGCCAAAGCGAUAGAAAUGUCGGGAGAGCUUGUGAUACUCCCCCUCGAGAUUUGAUAAUUUCCGGCCGGAGCGACAGAAAAGUCAGGAGAGCUUGUGAUACUCCCCCCUGAAGUUGUGGAAGGGGGCUUGUGAUUUUCCCCCUAAGAUACUAUAUGAUAUCCUAAGUCGGCGACUUAAGGUGUUAACUCGCCGACUUAGCAUUGGGGUUGUUUUUUGAGAAACCUGGAGGUUCGCUGACCUAGAUCGGCGACUUUCCUAUAAACUCGGCGAGUCUUAGUAUGAGCUGGCGGAUCUCUUCGAGAAUCCUUAGGAUCUUGGGAAAUAUUCGCAAAUUUUCCAAGUAUGGAAAUUUCCUCUACGUAUCCCUUGAUUUUUGCCCAAACUCGGCGAGUUUUCGAGAGACUCGCCGAGUUUGUGGAUUUGGAAAUCAAUUAGCGAUUUUUCUUCGCGUAAUUUUUAGAUUUUCCGGGGGGGUUUUGCAAUUUGUCCAGGGUCUAUAAAUAGUGAGUUGAUUUAUUUUUUAAUCCGCACAUCACUUUCCCUGAUUUUGCUUAAACCCUGAUCCCUUUCUAAGUCGCCGAGUUUCUUCAUAACUCGCCGACUCUCAUCACAAUCACCAGAACUUUCUUCCAAGUCGCCGAGUCUAAUCUUAAAUCGCCGACUUAUGGCAGACGAACCGUCUCUCCCUAGAUUGACAAUGUCGGAGACCGAAGCUCUGGUCGCCGACAUACUGAAUGAUGAUAUUGACGAAGGCUUGACGUGGGUGCUCGACACCGUUGAGUCUCCGAUUCCCUCACCUUCGCGCGGUGGGUCGGAGAUUUCGGAUGCCGAUGCGCCGCAGAACGUCAAGUUCUUGGCUACUGCCCGCGAGUUGCUUGGGUUAACUCCUGAAAACUCGCCAAAUUCUCAAAAGAAAUCGGCGAGUUUGACGGAUGAUUCCCUGGCUCUGGUCGUGGCAGAGCCUUCUGUUGAACCGGGUGAGAUCCCCCCGACUCUUGCAGCUAAGUCGGCGAGUCCCCUUGGGAAGUCGCCGGCGAAAGGCAAGGGGGGUGUCCCCAUGUUUAAGAGACCUCGCCGAGUAAUUCAACUCAGAUCGGCGAGUUCAGUACCAACAUCGGCGAGUUCAGCACCUAAAUCGCCGACAUUGCCCCCAAACUCGGGGGAUGUUUCUGAAGAACCUGAACCCACCAAGCGGUGGAAUCUGAAGGGCUGAUAGACGAAUCUGAGAGGCCGAAGAAAAGAAAGAGGAAGCACCCUAAACAUGCAAGGGAUUCCUCUGAGAAGCCUGACGAGAGUAAUGCCCCCAUUCCUCAUAUUUAUGGGAUGGGUGGUAGAGGAAAGACGCACUUCCCCUCUGCGGAGGAUGUACGGGUCCCUGAGCCCUUUGACUUUACUCAAGAGUUGCCAGUUGACCGUGGCCAGAGCCGAUGCCGCAAUGAUCCUUCUGACGGAUCGCACACUCCUCCUCCUCCUAUGGAAAUGGACAAGGAUGGAGAUCAUGUGAACCUCCCGUUCUACGAGGGAGUGGAGAACCACACCGGCUAUGCACACUGCGAGACCUUGCCGGGUGGUGAGAUUAGACUGCUGCCCCUUAGCGACACGGACGAGGGGUCCUUUGAGGAGGUUUCUGUCAACGCACCUCUCGUGCCUCAAAACGAGACUGUGCAUCCUUUUUCAAUAACCUCUGCGCUUGAAGCCCGUGAAAUUCUGCGCGGGGUUCGCAUAUCUGGGCAUCUGCGAUUUUGGGAAUCGCGAUAUCAGCCCGCGAAUCUUCCUCCCGCGGGGUUCCAAGCCAUCCCCAGACUCUACUUCAGACACUUCUCAAUGCUGCCAAUUCCUGCACUGAUGAGCGAAGUGUUGCUGCAAGGGGGGUCUCGCUGUAGCAGAUGCAGGCAACAUUUUUUGUCUAUUUGAGAGGUUUCUCCAACAUCUGUUGGAGCCUGAACAUCCCUGCAACCGCCGCCUUGUUUUUCUGGUUUUUCAAAUUUGUCAAGGCGCCCGCUUCCGAAUCUGGUCGGUUGGGGUUAGCGAAGCGGUUCAGCGGAAGAGAGCUGAUUAUAGAACUUCCCACUAACUACGGGCCCCAGUGGAAGAGCGAGUUCUUUUUUAUUGAUUCUACAUUUGUACGCGGGAGCCGCGAGAGGUGGGCCAACGCUCGCCACGUACACCUGGAUGUUCCUUGCGCCCUGAGCAAGGCUGAACUGAAGCGGGUGAAGAAGAUCUCUUCUGCUCUCGCUUCUUUCGAAUGCGGGCAAGGAGUUCCUUUCGCUUUGUGCCAGCGAGAGGAUUUUACUUUUUCUGACAUGGCACACUACCUGCGGUCAGAGGACCCUUCUGGAAAUCCGAUUAAGAAGAAGAAGGGUGCACAUCUUUACCGCGAGGCGGUCCUUCCACAUUUGGCCGUGAGACUUCGCGGCGCUAAGCUGAUUAGAGAAAGGAAGGCCCAAGAGACUGGCCCCCGCAGAACCUUCGAGACUGGGUCGAGCUCGAGGUCUGUUCCUGAAUUCGCCCCCUUCCGCACCACUUUUGAUUAUCCGGGCUUGUUUGCCGAUGAAGGGGUGCGAACGAAGGCUGCCCAGCUGCUUCUGACUAAGCCUGGGGACUGGAUACGCGAAGAGCUUGACAAAGCUAUAUCUGUUGUAAGUGAUUCACGAUCGCUUUUCAUUUAUAUGUGUUUCAUUUUAUUUUUCUAAUUGAUUGUUUUGUUUUGUAGGUCGCGUAUUUAUCAAAUGCAACUAUUGGGAUGCAAUCUGCGAACGACACACUCCGUUCUCAACAGGAGUACAACAAACUUGAUGAUAAGUAUCAAGCUGUCUGCAAAGAAGUGUGGUCGUUGAGAAAGACCCUCCAACGGAAUAAGAAGUUGGAGGAAAAAGCUGCUGAGCACGAGAAAGCGAUGGCGGCAAAGAACAAAGAGUGUGCUGCGCGCACCUACUCCAAAUUGCAAAUCUUCGCCAAGACUGUGACUCCUUGAGAGAAUCUGAGUCGCGUCUCGCUGCUGCCCUAAAAGAAGUUGAUGGGCUGAAGACGCAGUUAAGUGCGGAAGUGGGAAAUGCUAUGGUUUCUGAAUCGCAAAUUCAGAAACUCAAAGUAGAACUUUCUGAAUCCACUUCUGCCUUGAAAGAUUUGGAAGAUCGCUUCUCUCAGUCCACGGAGAAGUCGAAGAAGAUGAAGGAAGCUCUGGACGCUUCUUCUGAAAAAGUCAAGGAUUUGGAGUUCGAAGUUGAUGGCCAAUCUGAUCAACUCCAGGACUUGAACUUUUUUGGUCCUCACGUGUUUACGAGUCUGCCCGCCAACUACAUUUCAGAUAUUAUGGCGUGGCUAGAAGAACAUCCUGAAGUGCAGCUGGAGCACAAGGAGGCCUUAGAUAAGAUCAAAAGCGAUGUUCGCGAAGCGAGGAAAGAAGAUUGAACUAUUAUUGUAAUAGAUUUCGUCGGAGACCGAAGCUCUGGACGACGACAUUUUGAACACCGACAUAGAUGAGAGCUUAGCGGCGGUGCUCAACACCGUCGAGUCUCCGAUCCCCUCGCCUGCGCGCGGUGGGUCGAAGAUUCCGAUUGUCGAUGCACUGUCGAACGAUAAGUAUUGUGCUACGGCCCGCGAGUUACUCGGGCUCACUCCCGAACACUCGUCGAGUUCUAACAAGAAGUCGGCGAGUUCGGGGUGUGACUCCAUGGCUCUGGUCGUAGCAGAGCCUUCUAUUAAGAUGGGCGAGAUUCUCCCGACUCUUGCUCCUAAGUCGGCGAGUCCCCUUAGGAAGUCGCCGACUAAGGGCAAGGGGGGUGUCCCCAUCUUCAAGAGGCCUCGCCGAGUUAUUAAACUGGGAUCGGCGAGUUUGGAACCUAAGUCGCCGACUGAAGAAAUUGUGCCCCUUCAAGUGGUGGCACCUGAGGGGUUGACUGAUCUGGGAAAGAGGCCGACUGAAGAAUCUGAGAGGCCUAGUAAGAGAAGAAAGAGAAAACAUCCGAAACAUGCGAAGAACUCUUCUCAUGCUGUUGACGAAAGUAGUACCCCCAUUCCUCCCACUCAUGGGAUGGAGAGUAGAGGAAAGAAGCACUUCCCCUUUGCGGAGGGUGUACGGGUUCCUAAGCCCUUUAAUUAUGAUCAGGAACUAGAGCUGAACCGUGGCCAAAGCCGACGCCGCCCUGAUCCAGCUGAGAAAUACCAGACACCUCCUCCUCCCACGGAAGUGGACAAGGAUGGAGACCAUAUUAACCUCCUAUUCUAUGAGGGAGUGGAGAACCACACCGGCUAUGCUCAUUGUGAAACCUUGUCGGGUGGUGAAAUUAGGCUGCUACCCCUGAGCGACAUGAGCGAGGGUUCUUUUGAAGAAGUUUCCCUGAAUGCACCUCUUGUGCCGUAGACUGAGACCGCGCAUCCAUUUUCUGUUACAUCUGUGCUCGAAGCCCGAGAAAUUCUGCGGGGGAUACGCAUUUAUGGGCACUUGCGAUUUUGGGGGUCGCAAUAUCAACCCGCGAACCUUCCUCCUGCGGGGUUCCAAGUCAUUCCCCGACUCUACUUCAGACACUUCUCUAUGCUGCCCAUCCCCGUAUUGAUGAGCGAAGUGUUACUAUAAGGGGGCGUGUCGCUGUCACAGAUGUAGGCAGCAUUUUUUGUAUAUUUGAGAGGGUUCUCCAACAUCUGUUGGAGUCUAAAUAUCCCUGCAACCGCUGCCUUGUUUUUCUGGUUUUUUAAGUUUGUCAAGGCUCCCGCUUCCGAAUCUGGUCGGUUGGGGUUGGUGAAGCGGUUCAGCGGGCGUGAACUGAUUGUAGAACUCUCCACUAACUAUGGGCCGCAGUGGAAGAGGGUUAGCUGAUGAAGCACUGAAUCUGCUACCAGGGCUCGCGGUGGUGCGAGGUGAUGCCGGAGGGUUUGAAGUCCACGACGCACGCUCUACGUCAAAUACCUGCAAGUAGAAACUAGGCGAUUCUAGUGAGACUCGCCGAGUUUCUUAGUGAUGCUCUAGUGAGAGUGGAACUUGUGUUGUGUCCUUGAGUGUCCCCUUGGGACCCUUUUUAGAGGGUCUCGGAGGGCGCAAUCAAAGACGGACAUCGCGCUUAUGGUCAUAUAUGGUAACAUUUAUGACGUUGGCUGGCGGCGAGUAACGGUCGUAAGUCGGCGAUUCAGGUAUGGAAGUCGCCUAUUUAGGGCUAACUUGCCGAGUUUCCAUGGGCGAGAUGUGCAGUCUACCAUACUGCCGAUCUUGGCCCUAACUCGGCGACUUAUCCUUUAUGUCGGCGACUUGGUAGUCCAAUCGGCGACUUACGGGCUAACUCGUUGAUCUGGACGAUGAACGUGUUCCGCACUGUGGGAGCUCUCCGGGGGUCCGGCCGAAGCGACGGAACCCUAGUCCUUGUUGAAAGGCGUUGCUGGGAGUGACUGCCGUAAUCAGGCAUGUCUCACCAAGGGGUAAGCUGUGGCGGACUUCAUUGUCGAACUCACACCACUCAAUUUGACCCAACCUUGGGUUGUACAAGUAGACGACUCGAGUUGUAGCACAGGCUCAGGUAUCGGAGUGAAAAUCCAUAACCCGGAUGGAAAAAACUACGAACGCUCGGUACGGCUUCACUUCCGGGCCUCUAACAACGUCGCGGAAUAUGAAGUAGCCAUACACGGCCUGAAUCUGUUAAGAACUCUCGGCACUGAGAAUGUCACGUUCUGCACUGACUCCCAGCUCGUAGCUCGGCAAACCACUGGUGAAUUCGCUUGCAAGGAACCACAAAUAAUUAAAUAUGUGGAGGCAUUGGUAGCACUCACCAAGCAGUUUGCUGAGUUCAGAAUCGAGUAAAUCCCUCGAAUUCAAAAUUCCCCCGCCGACGCUUUGGCAUGUUUAGCGUCGGCCUGGGAGGGAGGGCAGCGCGAGAUAUUAGUAGACUUCAUACUCCAGCCUACAUACCAAGUAUUGACUGUUAUCUCCGACCCUCAAGAGGAUUGGAGGCAACCGAUAUUGGCAUUCAUUCAGAAUGGAGUACUUCCUGAAAAUAAAGGAGAGGCCAAAAAGUUGAAACAUAAAGCGGCAAAGUACUGUGACCUCGGAGGGGUGCUUUACAAAAAAGUCCUUCGAUAGCCCGUUGCUACACUGUUUGGCCAAACCAGAUACGGAUAAGGUUAUUCAAGAAGUACACGAAGGCUCGUGCGGGCUCCAUGAGGGAGGAAGAGCACUGACCUUCAAAAUCAUAAGGCUGGGAUAUUAUUGGCCCACUCUAAGGUUGGAAGCUCGCACUUACGUCCGCAAGUGCCGAGCAUGUCAGCUGCACAGCCCCAUCCAGCAGAAACCAUCCGUGAACAUGACUCCGAUUCUGAGCUCGAUCUCGUUCGCAAGGUGGGGACUGGACAUCGUAAGACCAUUCCUCCCUCAACAUCCUAGGCUCGGUUCAUCUUUGUAGUAGUAGAUUACUUUACAAAGUGGGUCGAGGCUCAGGCUGUAGCGAAAAUCACUCAGGAUGCGGUAGUUAAGUUCGUCUACCGCUCCAUAGUCUGUCGAUUCGAAAUUCCCCAACACAUUGUCACGGACAAUGACACACAAUUCACAGGGGGGAAUUUUCAAGAAUGUACGAGGACCUAAAUAUAAAACUCCACUUGCCUCCGUUUACCGACCUCAGGCAAACGGGCAAGUGGAGGUCACCAACAAGGCCAUCGUACAAGGAUUGAAAAAGAAAAUCGAAUCAGCUAAGGGGACUUGGGCAGACAAGUUGUGCGAAAUCCUAUGGGCAUAUCGCACAACGAGUAAAAACCUCACGGGAAACACCCCUUUCGCUAUGACCUAUGGAGUGGAAGCAGUCGUACCGAUCGAGAUGAGUAUGCCAACAUAUCGAGUUUCGAAGUACGACGAACAAACAAAUGACCAAAACCUAGCUACAGAGCUAGAGUUGAGGGAUGAAACCCGUGACGAGGCGGACCUGCGGAACGAAUCGUACAAGGCAAGCAUAUCAAGGUACCACAAUCGCCAAGUUUGCAAAAAAGUCUUCCUGCCAGGAACUCUCGUCAUGCGGAAAGCUAGCAUAACAUAAAGGAAUAGACCAAGAAAUAAAUUGUCAUCCAACUUCGAAGAUCCCUACGUCGUCGAAGAGGAGAUAAGGCCAGGAACUUAUCAUCUACGGCGACAGGAUGGAACAAUGGUGCCAAACACCUGGCACGCGGACAACAUGCAAUAGUACGACGCAUAGUACUCAUCGUAUUUCGUUUAUUUUCUUUAAUUUUCCUAAUAUGUAUGUUAGUCAAUCAUAGAACUCUCUCUUUAUGUUAUAACCCGCAAGGAUACCCUAAAAAGUAUAUUUUGUCGCUUCGGCCUCAGUAGAUCAAGGAUCAUUCCGUCGCUACGGCCCCAAUGAUCCUAUCCCAUCUUGUCGCUUCGGCCUUGAUGCGGAUCAACAGUCACUCCAUCACUACGACCGGAGUCAGACUACACUCUCAGGGUCCAAAUCCAGGAUUAGUACGAACAAGUCCAAUUUAGGCAUGCAAACCUAGAAUUGCGAUCACAACCCUUAUUCGCACAUGCGAAUCAGGAAUUAGUGGGUUUUACAUCAAUUUAUCACUCAAACUAUUUUCAACCCUAAAAGUUAAUUUAGAAGUAUAAAUCAUUUUCGAGUUUAACUAGCGACUGAACUACGAUUCGUACGACCAAGCUUACGCCCGGAGUGGCUAAGUAAGGUUAGCAGAAUCUAACUUACGUCCAGAGAGGCUAAGUUACGAUUUGUGAAUCUAGUUUCAAGCUUAGGUUACAACUUCAAAAUAUUUAUAUAAAAAAUUAACAAAGAAAAGCAAAAUAGUUCAUUGAUUGAUAAAAAUAUUACAAAAAAUCCACUGCAAAAUUAAGUCUAAUCCUCUUCUUUCCUCGCUUCCCGAACAUCGCUCUUUAUCUUAUCAAGAGCUUCUUUGUGUUCCAGCUGCACUUCAGGAUGUUCUUCUAGCCACGCCAUAAUGUCAGUCACGAAAUUGGCAGGAAAGCUCGGAAACACAUGAGGACAGAAAAAGUUUAAGUCUUGAAGUUGGUUAAAUUGACCAUCUACUUCAAACUCUAAGUCCUUCACUUUCUCGGAAGAAGCGUCUAGUUCUUCCCUCAUCUUUCUCAACUCCUCCGUGGAUUGAGAGAAGCGGUCAGUCAGAUCCUCUCACUCAGAGUUGGGCUUAGAAAGAUCUACUUGAAGCUUCUGAAUUUGUGAUUCAGAAGCCAUCGCAUUGCCAACCUCCGCACUCAGCUGCGUUUUCAGUUCUUCAAUCUGUUUAAGAGCAUCAGUGAGACGCGAUUCAGAUUUCACCAAAGAGUCGCGUUCUUGGAGAAGAGUAGAAAUCUCAAGUCUAUAUGCGGCGCACUCUUUAUUCUUCGCCAUCAUCGCUUUCUCAUGCUCAGCAGCUUUUUCUUCCAAUUUCUUGUUGUUUUGGAAGACUUUCCUCAUCGACCACACUUCUAUACAGACAGCUUGAUACUUGUCAUCAAGCUUAUCAUAUUCCUAUUGGGAUCGAAGCGUGUCGUUACAUGACUGCAUCCCAACAGCAGCAUUCGAUAGAUACGCAGCCUAUAAAAAAAACAAUUAGAUUAGCACAAAAAUAAAUAAGUCAAAUAAGAUGCGAGUUUAGGUCACUUACAGCAAAUAGAGAUUUAGUGAGCUCCUCUCAUAUCCAAUCUCCAUGCUUCGUCAAUAACAUUUUGGCAGCCCUCGAUCACACCUCCGCAUCCGCAAACAGGCUCGGAUAAUGAAAGGUGGAUCGGAAAGGAGCAAACUCUGGUGCUGACCUCGAGCACGAUCCAGGUUCAAACGUGCCACGAGGACCAGAUUCCUCAGUCUUCCUGAUCUGAAUCAACUUGGCACUACGCAACCUCGCAGCCAAGUGAGGGAGCACCGCUUCGCGGUAGAGAUGUGCCUCCUUCUUCUUCUUGAUAGGCUUGCCAGAAGGAUCUUCCGACUUCAGAUAGUGUAUCACAUCAGAGAAGGUAAAAUCCUCACGCUGACACAAAGCGAAAGGAAUCCCUUGACCACAUUUGUAGGCUUCAAGGGCUGAGGAGAUCUUCUUCACAUCCUUAAGUUCCGACUUGCUCAGUGUGGAAGGAACGUCCAAGUGUACGCGCCAAGUGUUGGCCCAACCCUCUCGACUUCCGCGUACGAACAUUGAUUCAACAAAAAAGAACUCGCUCUUCCACUGCGGUCCGUAGUUGGUGGGGAGUUCGAUGAUCAGUUCACGCCCAUCAAACCUCUUAGCCAACCCCAACCGACCAGAUUUGGAAGCGGGAGCCUUGACAAGUUUAUAGAACCAGAAAAACAAGGCAGCGGUUGCAGGGAUAUUCAAACUCCGACAAAUGUUGGAGAAUCCUCUCAAAUAUAUAAAGAAAGCUGUCUGCAUCUGCGACACGCCAGCUUGUAGCAACACUUCACUCAUCAACAUAGGAAUGGGUAACACGGAGAAGUGUCUGAAGUAGAGUCGGGGGAUCGCUUGAAACCCCGCAUGAGGAAGGUUAGCAGGUUGGUAUUGCGACCCCCAAAAUCGCAAACGCCCAGAGAUGCGCACUCCUCGCAGAAUGUCUCGGGCUUCACGUACAGACAUGACAGAAAAGGGGUGCACGGUAUCCGUUUGUGGCACAAGGGGAGCAUUCAGAGAGACUUCCUCAAAGGACCCUUCGCUCACGUCGCUUAGGGGCAGCAACUUAAUCUCACCACCCGACAAAGUUUCAUAGUAAGCAUAGCCGGUGUGGUUCUCAACUUCCUCAUAAAAAGGAAGGUUGAUGUGGUCUCCAUCCUUGUCCACUUCAGUGGGAGGAGGAGUCUUUGAUCCUUCAACCGGAUCAGGCCCCGAGUUUUAGGGCAAUGUCGGUGAUUUAGAUGACAAACUCACCGAUGUUUGCUCAGAACUCGCCGAUCCCAGGUAAAUAACUCGGCGAGGUCUCUUGAAAAUGGGGACACCCCCCUUGCCUUUAAUCGACGACUUCCCAAGGGGACUCGCCGAUUUAAUCGCAAGAGUUAAGGGGAUCUCGCCACUUCAACAGAAGGCUCGGCCACGACUAGAGCCCCGGAGUCACGUCCCAAACUCGUCCAUUUCUUGGUAGAACUCGGCGAUUUCUUAGGCGAUUUGGGGAAAAUGAUGUGCGGAUUAAAAUAAUCGAUUCGCUAUUUAUAGACCCUGGAGAAAUUGCAAAACACCUUCGGAAAAUCCAAAAAUUACGCGAAGGAAAAUCGCUAAUUGAUUCUCGAAUCUCCAAAACUCGGCGAGUUACCCACAAACUCGCCGAGUUUAGGCAAAUAUCACGGGAUACGAAAGGGAAACUUCCAUAUUCGGAAAAUUUGCAAAUAUUUUCCAAUAUCCCAAGGAUUUUCUAAGAAAUUCACCAGCUCAUAGUAAGGAUCGCUGAGUUUGUAAGAAAAAUCGCCGAUCCAGGUAGGCAAACUUCAAAGUUGCUCACAAAACCACCCCAAUGCCAAGUCGCCGAGUUAGAACAUUAAGUCACCGACUUGGGGUAUCACAUAGCAUCUUAGGGGGGGAGUAUCACAAGCUCCCUUCAACGCAACAAAAGGAGAGUAUCACAAACUCUCCACGACACUUCUGUCGCUUCGGCCAGAAGUUGUCGCAAUUCGGGAGGGAGUAUCACAAGCUCUCCCGACAUUUCUGUCGCUCCGGCCGGAAAUCAUCAAAUUUCGAGGGGGAGUAUCGCAAGCUCUCCCGAUAUUUCUGUCGCUCCGGCCGGAAAUCGUCAAAUUUCGCAGGGGAGGGGGGGGUAUCGCAAGCUCUCCCGACAUUUCUGUUGCUCCGGUCGGAAAUCGUCAAAUUUCGAGGGGGAGUAUCACAAACUCUCCCGACAUUUCUGUGGCUCCGUCCGGAAAUCGUCAAAUUUCGGGGGGAAGUAUCACAAGCUUUCCCGACACUUCUGUCUCUUCGGCCGAAAGUCGUCAACAUGAGCACGGUAUAUCUGUCGCUUCGGCCAGAUCUACCAUGGAUUGGUUCGAGCAAAAGGAGAAUAUCACGAGAGGUAAAAUCGCACGGUAAGUUCAAUUGGUCAAUAAUAAUAUGCGUUUUAGACUGAUCUAGUUGUUUUGCAGGAUGUUUUCUUUUUUGCAGGUAUAAUUCUGUCGCUUCGGGCAGAAUCAGGUCUAUCUUGUCACUUUGGUCUUGAUAAACCAAAGUCAUUCUGUCUCUUUAGCCUUAAUGGUCUCAACCCACCAUUCCGCUUAUUUGCAUUGAUGGGUUGACCGUCGUUGCGGACAUAAAGUCGCUCUUGAUCAGGGUGGACUAUAAACAUUAGUUCUAUCACUUUGGCUAGAACUCAAUUCUGUCGCUUCGGCCAGAAUCAGGUUUUGUCGCUUCGGCCAGAAUCCAUCUUGUCGCUCCGGCCUUGAUUAACACAGAACAGUCGCUCUCGAUAAGGGUUAAACUAUAAACAGGUAGUUCUGUUGGCCUGGAACUCGAUUCUGUCGGUUCGACCCGGCAGAGUCAAUCCAUUCUGUCGUUUAGGCCUUAAUGGAUACGUAAUCAGUACGUCACUGUGGACGGAAUGAUUCGAUCUCAUCUUGUCGCUUUAGCCUUGAUACGGAUCACACAUAGAACCUUGGUUGGGGGGGUACUGACGAUACACGCAUGUUUCUUGUGCUCUCUUCAGGGGGGAGUACUGGUGAAACAUGCCUGAUCACGGCAAUCACUCCCAGCAACGCCUUUCAACAAGGACUAGGGUUCCGUCGCUUUAGGCCAGACCCCCGGAAGGCUCCCACGGUGCGGAAAAAGUUCAUCGUCAAAUCGUCGAGUUAACCCGUAAAUCGCGAUUGGACUACCAAAUCGCCGACUUUAGGGAUAAGUCGCCGAGUUAGGGCCCAGAUCGGCAGUAUGGUAGACUGCACAUCUCGCCCCUGGAAACUCAGCGAGUUUGCCCUAAAUAGGCGAUUUCCAUACCUGAAUCGCCGACUUACGACCGUUACUCGCCGCCAGCCAACGCCAUAAAUGCUCCCAUCUAUGGCAAUAGGCGUGAUGUCCGCCUUUGAUCGCGCCCUCCGAGACCUUAUAAAAAGUGUCCCAAGGGGACACUCAAAGGCACAACACAAGUUCCACUCUCACCAGAGCAUCACUAAGAGACUCGUCGAUUCUCACUAGAAUCGCCUAGUCUCUACUUGUAGGUAUUUUACGUAGAGCGCGCGUCGUGUACUCCAAAGCCUCCGGCAUCACCUCGUACCACCGCGAGCCCCUGGUAGCAGAUUCAGUGCUUCAUCAGAGGACGCCGAUACAAAAGUUCUUCGAAACAGGCGAGGGACCAAGUAACCCAAUGGAGGCUAGG
rnacentral:lncRNA from 1 species